GUCCAUGCCGUAAACGUUGGGCGCUAGAUGUGGGGACCAUUCCACGGUUUCCGUGUCGCAGCUAACGCAUUAAGCGCCCCGCCUGGGGAGUACGGCCGCAAGGCUAAAACUCAAAGGAAUUGACGGGGCCCGCACAAGCGGCGGAGCAUGCGGAUUAAUUCGAUGCAACGCGAAGAACCUUACCAAGGCUUGACAUUUACGAGAACGCUGCAGAAAUGUAGAACUCUUUGGACACUCGUAAACAGGUGGUGCAUGGUUGUCGU
rnacentral:rRNA from 1 species